rnacentral:lncRNA from 1 species
UAUCAAUCUACACAAGUUGCUCGUCACCCCCCAGUUACUUUGCUGCAGCCGGACUGCGGCAGGCAACCAAGAGCAGUGUGAGCACUGCUUGAUUCACCUUGACUGAGUGCAGAAACCCAAGUGAGUUAAUGCAAGUUCACCAUCUUGGGGCGUGGGGGAAUCAAUCAGCAAACAGCCCACGGCACAGGUGAUGUCGCAGGGUAAGGCCACUCCAAGGCUUCACCCAGGAGAAGCCUUUAGGAGGACAGUCCCAGGACCUGGGUGACGGUAGGGAACACAUUGGCUGGGAAAUUUAAUAUUUUAAAAACUUUAUUAUGGCGAGUUUGAAAACAAAGGGUAACACGGGGGAGAGUAAUAACCUGUACCCUGUGUGCCUACCUCUUGAAUUCAUCAUGAGCAGCGUUUCGCCAUGUCAUUUCACCUACCCCAGUCUUUUGGAAACAAGGUGUUGUUUCCUCCACUUUCCAUGAUUCUCAACUUCCAGGAUGGCAGCAAUUGGCCUGCAAGCCCGAGAGCCGCUGCUCCCUCCCUCAGCUUCUCCCCAGCUGUGCCGACGGGUUGCUGACACUUGACAAUACCCCCUUAGAUGUUCUCCAUGACUCUUUGGCAGAUGUGAGACCACUGCUACAGCCAAGAUACAGACCACCCACAAGUGCCAGCACGUUCCCUCCCGCACCUCUGCCUGUGGUCACUGAUGGGCUUUCCCUAGCUGCAGCGCGUCAUUUCCAAACUGCUCAGUCCCUUGUGUUGUCCCUCUCGUGGACCGCGAUGGCUUUGAGAUUCAGUGCGUCCGUGCACCACGGGUGGGCCAUUCCUGCUUGCUGAUGAAGAUGUCCUGUUGGAUGGACAGACCACAGCCUGGUCAGCACUUCUCGUGGUGUGGCCAGAGGCACUUGGCUCACCACUUUUUUGCUGCGGUGACUGUAGACCCCCGAACACCAACACAAAAUGUUCAUGUGCACGGUCUGUGUUUCCCUCGCAAGUACUCAGGAGUGACAUUGCUCAAUGUUGUGAUAAGCAUUGGCUCAAACUGCCAAACCCUUGGCAGAGUGGUUCUGUGGUGGGUAAGAGAGCCAGGUCUGUGUGCUUGUGUGAGGAUGGCCUUAGGCCUGAGCCUAAGCAACUCCAUUUUAAAAACUCCAGUUGAAACCUGCAGUCUCACUAGGCACUCCCACAGAGCCCUCCAGUGUGGCUUCAGACAAGUUACUUCCCCACACCCUGAUAAACAGAGUAAAGUCCCUGGCAGGCUGUCCUCACCUGAUCAGAGGGAAAGGCAAGAAGAUCAGGGUGGAGACCACCCGACCAAAAGUUUCUGACCCCAGGGUAAAUGAUGUCACUGAGAAAUCCCACAGUAGCUGAUAAGGAUUGAAAGGGGGGCAAAAGCCCCCAAAUUUAGUAUAAAUGAUAGAGCAAAUGAACAGGGAUUCAGCCAGCCAAAACAAGGAUGCACUUGAGCUGGAGAGCCUAAUGAGGAUCUGACAUCCCAUCAUUUGUCAUUGUUCCUGAGCCUCUGCGUGAUCCUCACUGCUCUCAAACUCUACCACCUCAUCUGGACCUUGGUGAGAGCUGCAACUCCUCCCUACAACCCCCUCCUCAAACAGUCAUUCACUCGAUGCCAGGAAAAGCCCCUUGGUUCCAGACCUGGUCACCAGAGUGAGUGUGCAUCUGCUGGACUUAAAGCCUAAGGCUUCAGACUUUUGAACUUAGCACACAGAGGGAAUGUCUGUCAUUAGCCUGUCAUGAUUAAGUGUGUUUUGCAGUGCUUAGAAUUAAUCUAGAAUUGCUUGCUGUGAACUGAUUAUUGCCUAGUAUUAGGAAUUGUCGUUUUCUUGAUUAAGAACCUAUAGAAUGAAAUUGUACUGAGUAAUUUGAGUGAAUAAAGCAUUGAAAGGCGCAGAAGCA